rnacentral:misc_RNA from 1 species
UAAUUUUUUUUUUUUUUUAAUACCAUUUGCCAUGAUUGAGAAUCAUGAUUGAUAAAAUUUUGCUCUUUCAAUUUUGAAGUUGGUUUUACAUUUCUUAUACUCUUGGGCGGUUGUGGUGUAACAAAUGUCAAAUGUUGACCCUUAAAGGGUCCGGACGAGAAAGCAUUAGGCUACGUAGACCAUGUCAGAGACUCAACUUAAUUAAGUUUUUAUCCCAAAUAUUUAU